UACGUAGGGCGCAAGCGUUGUCCGGAAUUAUUGGGCGUAAAGAGCUCGUAGGCGGCUUGUCACGUCGGAUGUGAAAGCCCCGAGGCUUAACCUCGGGUCUGCAUUCGAUACGGGCUAGCUAGAGUGUGGUAGGGGAGAUCGGAAUUCCUGGUGUAGCGGUGAAAUGCGUAGAUAUCGGGGAGGAACACCAGUGGCGAAGGCGACUUCCUGGCCUGUUCUUGACGCUGAGGCGCGAAAGCUAGGGUAGCAAACGGG
rnacentral:rRNA from 1 species